UACGUAGGGGGCAAGCGGUGUCCGGAAUUAUUGGGCGUAAAGAGCUUGUAGGCGGUUUGUCGCGUCUGCUGUGAAAUUUCGGGGCUCAACCCCGAACUUGCAGUGGGUACGGGCAGACUAGAGUGUGGUAGGGGAGACUGGAAUUCCUGGUGUAGCGGUGAAAUGCGCAGAUAUCAGGAGGAACACCGAUGGCGAAGGCAGGUCUCUGGGCCACUACUGACGCUGAGAAGCGAAAGCAUGGGGAGCGAACAGG
rnacentral:rRNA from 1 species